AGGUUGGUAGUUAAAAUAUAAUGUUUAAUUUGCGUUUAAGAGUUACUAAUAAGUGCGGCCUG
rnacentral:tRNA from 1 species